CCUGCACGAAUGGCGUAACGACUUCUCGACUGUCUCAACCAUAGGCCCGGUGAAAUUGCACUACGAGUAAAGAUGCUCGUUUCGCGCAGAAGGACGGAAAGACCCCGGGACCUUUACUACAGUUUGAUAUUGGUGUUCGGUUCGGCUUGUGUAGGAUAGGUGGGAGACUGUGAAGCGGGCACGCCAGUGUUCGUGGAGUCGUCGUUGAAAUACCACUCUGGUCGUGCUGGAUGUCUAACCUCGGUCCGUGAUCCGGAUCAGGGACAGUGUCUGAUGGGUAGUUUAACUGGGGCGGUUGCCUCCCAAAGAGUAACGGAGGCGCCCAAAGGUUCCCUCAGCCUGGUUGGUAAUCAGGUGUUGAGUGUAAGUGCACAAGGGAGCUUGACUGUGAGACCGACGGGUCGAGCAGGGACGAAAGUCGGGACUAGUGAUCCGGCGGUGGCUUGUGGAAGCGCCGUCGCUCAACGGAUAAAAGGUACCCCGGGGAUAACAGGCUGAUCUUCCCCAAGAGUCCAUAUCGACGGGAUGGUUUGGCACCUCGAUGUCGGCUCGUCGCAUCCUGGGGCUGGAGUCGGUCCCAAGGGUUGGGCUGUUCGCCCAUUAAAGCGGUACGCGAGCUGGGUUUAGAACGUCGUGAGACAGUUCGGUCCCUAUCCUCUGUGCGCGUAGGAAUAUUGAGAAGGGCUGUCCCUAGUACGAGAGGACCGGGACGGACGAACCUCUGGUGUGCCAGUUGUCCUGCCAAGGGCAUGGCUGGUUGGCUACGUUCGGAAAGGAUAACCGCUGAAAGCAUCUAAGCGGGAAGCCUGCUUCGAGAUGAGUAUUCCCACCCCCUUUGAGGGGUUAAGGCUCCCAGUAGACGACUGGGUUGAUAGGCCAGAUCUGGAAGCCCGGUAACGGGUGGAGGUGACUGGUACUAAUAGGCCGAGGGCUUGUCCUC
rnacentral:ncRNA from 1 species